rnacentral:rRNA from 1 species
CCUACGGGCGGCAGCAGUGGGGAAUAUUGCGCAAUGGGCGAAAGCCUGACGCAGCGACGCCGCGUGAGGGAUGAAGGUCCUCGGAUCGUAAACCUCUGUUAGUAGGGAAGAACGGUCACUGUGCUAAACAGCAGUGAAUUGACGGUACCAGCAAAGGAAGCACCGGCUAACUCCGUGACAGCAGCCGCGGUAAUACGGAGGGUGCGAGCGUUAAUCGGAAUUACUGGGCGUAAAGCGCUCGUAGGCGGUAUGUCAAGUCACGGGUGAAAUCCCCGCGCUCAACGUGGGAACUGCGUAUGAAACUGGCAGACUGGAGUGUGGGAGGGGAUAGUGGAAUUCCAGGUGUAGGAGUGAAAUCCGUAGAUAUCUGGAGGAACAUCAGUGGCGAAGGCGACUAUCUGGAACGUAACUGACGCUGAGGAGCGAAAGCGUGGGGAGCAAAAAGGAUUAGAUACCCGGGUAGUC